AAGCCCCGCCUGUUUACCAAAAACAUCGCCUCUUGCAUUAACAAAUAUAAGAGGUCCCGCCUGCCCUGUGACUAUAUGUUUAACGGCCGCGGUAUUUUAACCGUGCAAAGGUAGCGCAAUCACUUGUCUUUUAAAUAGAGACCUGUAUGAAUGGCAUAACGAGGGCUUGACUGUCUCCUUUUUCCAGUCAAUGAAAUUAAUCUCCCCGUGCAGAAGCGGGGAUAAUAACAUAAGACGAGAAGACCCUGUGAAGCUUUAAGACAAUAAGCAGACCAAACUAACCACCCCGAACAAAAGGACUAAAGCACAGGACCCUGCCCUAAUGUCUUCGGUUGGGGCGACCACGGAGAAACAAAAAACCCCCAUGUGGACCAGGAGCACCCUUACUUCCCCUCCCCCUCCUACAACCAAGAGUUACAACUCAAAGUACCAAAACCCUUGACCAAACAUGAUCCGGCAACGCCGAUUAACGAACCAAGUUACUCCAGGGAUAACAGCGCAAUCCCCUUCUAGAGCCCAUAUCGACAAGGGGGUUUACGACCUCGAUGUUGGAUCAGGACAUCCUAAUGGUGCAGCCGCUAU
rnacentral:rRNA from 1 species